UACGGGGGGAGCAAACGUUGUUCGGAAUCACUGGGCGUAAAGGGCGUGUAGGCGGCUGAAUAAGUGGGAUGUUAAAUCCCCCCGGCUCAACCGGGGGACCUGCAUCUCAUACUGUUCAGCUCGAGCACAUCAGAGGAGACUGGAAUUCCCGGUGUAGCGGUGAAAUGCGCAGAUAUCAGGAGGAACACCGGUGGCGAAGGCGGCAUCCUGGACCGGCAU
rnacentral:rRNA from 1 species